GUGGGUAUAGCUCAGUUGGUAGAGCAUCGGAUUGUGAUUCCGAGUGUCGCGGGUUCAAGCCCCGUUACUCACC
rfam:Bdellovibrio bacteriovorus W, complete genome.